AGUGUGUUAAUCGCCCAUUAGUGCUGACUCAACUCCAGUUUCUUUACUAAGUUUAGUAUAACAAAAUAUGUAAAAUAACUAAGUAAGUAAGUAAGUAAGUAAUACGAAUUAUUACUACUCACUACUACUCUUAUUAUUUUACUAUUAUUAAAUGUAGAAAGGAACGAUUGUAAAUAUAUACAUACUUUCUAGUUAAUAAACGUGUUAUACAACUAUUUUAUAACAUUCUUUUAUAUUGUAUUAAAAGAAUAACGAUAAUAUAUUGAAUAGUCCCCUAUCUUAAUAAGGUAAAGAAAAAAGUAAGUUAGUGGACUGCUAAGUAAAAUUGCAAUUUUUAUUAUAUAGUUUAUUUUGUUUGUUUUUAAAGUAAAACGAACUUAUAUAUAGUUACUAUAUAU
rnacentral:rRNA from 1 species